rnacentral:rRNA from 1 species
CGGGUGAGUAACACGUGGAUAACCUACCUAUAAGACUGGGAUAACUUCGGGAAACCGGAGCUAAUGCCGGAUAAUAUAUUGAACCGCAUGGUUCAAUAGUGAAAGACGGUUUUGCUGUCACUUAUAGAUGGAUCCGCGCCGCAUUAGCUAGUUGGUAAGGUAACGGCUUACCAAGGCAGCGAUGCGUAGCCGACCCGAGAGGGUGAUCGGCCACACUGGAACUGAGACACGGUCCAGACUCCUACGGGAGGCAGCAGUG